AGUAACCCGCUUGGCAAAGAGUAACUCAUUUUGAUGCCUCUCGCUACCCCUGGCCUUAGUUUUAAAGGAAUCAUGCGACACACUCGCACUCCACUACCCCAUCCCAUGGAAAAAUGCUUCCACCAUCGAGGUGUUGACCAAAAUUUCGCUGUGUGCAUGAGACACACACUCGCACUCCUCCAGCCCUCCACAGCUGAACGCUCCCACCGUUGCGAAGUUGCGAGAAUUUUUGCUAUGAGCGUGAGACCCUGAAGCGCCAGAGAUGACACAAUGUGUAAAGACGAUCAUAAUUCGAUAUGGUCAAAAUGCGUCGAUUAUCGUUUCAUUUAUCUGGUAAUGAUGUUUUCACUUCAUCAAAAUUUUAAACAUUAACAACUAGGCUGAUAACAAUAGUUGAAAUGUAAAUCAGAAUAAAAUCAAUUCAUUUGAAGUAAAAUGAAUUCCAUUAUACUCUAUUUUGACCAAAUGAUCAACUCUUGUACAUAGUGCCAUUUACUUUGUGUUCUUCACUCUCGCGCUGUGUUGUGAUCGUUCGAAACUCAUUGCCAGAACGAAUGCAAAUUUCAUUUGGGAAGUAUCGGUGCCGGAAGAUGCAGUGAAAAUUAUAAAAUGUUUAUAGAAAAGUGGUUAAGUAAAUCGUGAAAGAUGUCAACGCAGGCGUAAAUGCAGUUUGUUUUGUUACUUGAUCUACGGCUAUUUCAUUGCCAAAGCACCUGAUAACCGAUCAAAGAAGGUGAAUUGGGCUUACAGAGUCGCCAUUUAACUUCAAUAUAUUCGUGAUCGGAAAACGCAUCAAACAACAAGUGUUUUUCUUCUAAUAGCACGCGCCAUCGGUGGAGCAAGCUGCAAACGUUUCGUUCGCCCAACACGCACCAUCAAGUAAUAUAAUAUUCCCGAAUAGCUCUGUGAAUAAAAAACUGCACACUUACUGUCCGAAUUUCCUGGAAUUUUUUGAUCGGUCUACGCUCGCGGGAAUGGUGGGUCCGUUGAGGAGAAGGAAAGAAAGGGUGGGAGCGAGGAUUAACCAAAAACGCGGCAUUGAGAAUGAGGGGAGGUGCGCUCAGCGCUCACGCUGGGACACUCACGAUGCUUGAAAUAAAAUGUUAACAAGCAUCGAUUUCAAGCAUGCAUGUCGCGCGACAUUUUGCCAAGCGGGAAGUGUGCAGUUUUUUAUUCACAGUGCUGUUUGGCAAAAUAUCAAUUCUUGAUGGUGCGCGCUAGGCGAACAAAACGUUAGGUGCUGCACCACCGAUGGUGCGUGCUGUUGGAAGGAAAAACACUUGCUGUUUGAUGCGUUUGCUUGAGGAAUGAAAGAUAAAUCGAGCAUUAGAAUGGUGAACAAAACUAGUACUAUUUAAAACUUACCGAUCACGCAGAUAUUUUAAAUUAAACGGCGACUCUGUAUGCCCGAUCCAUCUGCUUUGAUCUGUUAUCAGGAGCUUUGGUAAUGAAAUAGCUAGGUGUGAUGGAAAAUAAUAGAAGAAUAAACAAACAUUGAAAGCAGUACGAUUGUUUUAACACAAA